rnacentral:pre_miRNA from 1 species
CGGAUUGUAGCAGUCUGGCAGUGCCUGUUAGCUGGCUGUUGUCUCAGAGGUGUGAACAGCUGCUAGCUGCACUCCAUAUUGUUGCAUUCACA